UGGGGAAUAUUGCACAAUGGGGGAAACCCUGAUGCAGCAACGCCGCGUGCGGGAUGACGGCCUUCGGGUUGUAAACCGCUUUCAGCCAUGACGAAGCUUUUGUGACGGUAGUGGCAGAAGAAGCACCGGCUAACUACGUGCCAGCAGCCGCGGUGAUACGUAGGGUGCGAGCGUUGUCCGGAAUUAUUGGGCGUAAAGAGCUUGUAGGCGGUUUGUCGCGUCGAAAGUGUAAACUCAGUGCUUAACGCUGAGCCUGCUUUCGAUACGGGCUGACUAGAGGAAGGUAGGGGAGAAUGGAAAUCCCGGUGGAGCGGUGGAAUGCGCAGAUAUCGGGAGGAACACCAGUGGCGAAGGCGGUUCUCUGGACCUUUCCUGACGCUGAGAAGCGAAAGCGUGGGUAGCAAACAGG
rnacentral:rRNA from 1 species